AACGUAGGUUCCGAGCGUUAUCCGGAUUUACUGGGCGUAAAGCGCGUUCAGGCGGUUUGGCAAGUCGGGCAUGAAAUCUCUCGGCUCAACCGGGAGAGGUUGUCCGAUACUGCUGGACUUGAGGGCAGUAGAGGGUGGUGGAAUUCCGGGUGUAGUGGUGAAAUGCGUAGAUAUCCGGAGGAACACCAGUGGCGAAGGCGGCUUCCUGGACCGGUUCCGACACUGAGGAGCGAAAGCGUGGGGAGCGAUCCGG
rnacentral:rRNA from 1 species